GUGAGGAAUAUUGCGCAAUGGAGGCAACUCUGACGCAGCCAUGCCGCGUGCAGGAAGAAGGCGCUACGCGUUGUAAACUGCUUUUAACCGGGAAGAAACCCCAGGACGUGUCCUGGGUUGACGGUACCGGAGGAAUAAGCACCGGCUAACUUCGUGCCAGCAGCCGCGGUAAUACGAAGGGUGCAAGCGUUAUCCGGAUUCAUUGGGUUUAAAGGGUGCGUAGGCGGAGCGUUAAGUCAGUGGUGAAAUCCUGCAGCUUAACUGUAGACUUGCCAUUGAUACUGGCGCUCUUGAGUGCGCUUGAAGUGGGCGGAAUGUGCCGUGUAGCGGUGAAAUGCUUAGAUAUGGCACAGAACACCAAUUGCGAAGGCAGCUCACUAGGCGAUACUGACGCUGAGGCACGAAAGCGUGGGGAUCGAACAGGAUUAGAUACCCUGGUAGUCC
rnacentral:rRNA from 1 species